rnacentral:rRNA from 1 species
AUUAGCAUGCAAGUUGAGCGUACCCAGCAAUGGGGAGCAGCGUAAGGGGCAGUAAUGCAUAGGUACCUACCCCGGGGUCGGGCAUAGCCUGUAGAGAUACAGGGUAAUUCCCGAUGACCUCGUGAGAGCAAAGCUCCGGCGCCCUGGGAGGGGCCUAUGUGAUAUUAGCUAGUUGGUGAGGUAACGGCUCACCAAGGCGAAGAUGUCUAGCGGGUGUGAGAGCACGACCCGCGCCACUGGCACUGAGACACUGGCCAGACACCUACGGGUGGCUGCAGUCGAGGAUCUUCGGCAAUGGACGCAAGUCUGACCGAGCGAUGCCGCGUGGAUGAUGAAGGCCUUCGGGUUGUAAAAUCCUGUCGAGGGGGAGAAAGGGAAACUUGAUCUAUCCCUGGAGGAAGCCCGGGCUAAGUUCGUGCCAGCAGCCGCGGUAAGACGAACCGAGCAAACGUUGUUCGGAAUCACUGGGCUUAAAGGGCGCGUAGGCGGGCUGCCAAGUCCGGGGUGAAAUCCUCCAGCUUAACUGGAGAACGGCCUCGGAUACUGGCGGUCUCGAGGGAGAUAGGGGCAUGCGGAACUGUAGGUGGAGCGGUGAAAUGCGUUGAUAUCUACAGGAACUCGUGGCGAAGGCGGCAUGCUGGAUCUUUUCUGACGCUGAGGCGCGAAAGCCAGGGGAGCGAACGGGAUUAGAUACCCCGGUAGUCCUGGCCCUAAACGUUGGGUACUAGGUAGCAGGCUCGACAUGGGCUUGCUUCCGAAGCAAAAGUGUUAAGUACCCCGCCUG